rnacentral:rRNA from 1 species
GACAGAGGGGGCAACCGUUAUACGGAAUUAUUGGGCGUAAAGCGUCCGCGGGUGGUUUGGCAAGUCUGGGGUUAAAGCCAGGAGCCUUACUCCGGAUCGGCCCUGGAAACUGCCAGACUAGAGUAAGGUAGGGGUUGCGGGAAUUCCCGGUGUAGCGGUGAAAUGCGUAGAUAUCGGGAAGAACACCAGUGGCAAAAUCGCGCAAAUGCGCCACUAUUCACCUUGAAGGAAGAAAGCUAGGAGGGCGUAUGGG